rfam:Enterococcus phoeniculicola ATCC BAA-412 genomic scaffold acvKl-supercont1.7, whole genome shotgun sequence.
GGUUAAUAGUUAACUGUACCGAAGACAGUAGGUGACUUAGGUCUUAAUUUCCUACCGAGGACAUGUAUUGAUGAAUAUCAAUAGUCCCUCUAUGUCUACGGUGGCAUGGGGUUAUUUUUUUGUUUCA